CCUACGGGUGGCAGCAGUGAGGAAUAUUGGUCAAUGGACGAGAGUCUGAACCAGCCAAGUAGCGUGAAGGAUGACUGCCCUAUGGGUUGUAAACUUCUUUUAUAUGGGAAUAAAAUGUUCCAUGUGUAGUGCUUUGUAUGUACCAUAUGAAUAAGGAUCGGCUAACUCCGUGCCAGCAGCCGCGGUAAUACGGAGGAUCCGAGCGUUAUCCGGAUUUAUUGGGUUUAAAGGGAGCGUAGGUGGAUUGUUAAGUCAGUUGUGAAAGUUUGUGGCUCAACCGUAAAAUUGCAGUUGAUACUGGCAGCCUUGAGUACAGUAGAGGUAGGCGGAAUUCGUGGUGUAGCGGUGAAAUGCUUAGAUAUCACGAAGAACUCCGAUUGCGAAGGCAGCUCGCUGGACUGCAACUGACGCUGAGGCUCGAAAGUGUGGGUAUCAAACAGGAUUAGAUACCCGUGUAGUC
rnacentral:rRNA from 1 species